UUGGGAAUCGUACACAAUGGGGGAAACCCUGAUGUCGCGACACCGCGUGAAGGAUGAAGGCUUUCGGGUUGUAAACUUCUUUUCUGAGGGACGAUGAUGACGGUACCUCAGGAAUAAGCACCGGCUAACUACGUGCCAGCAGCCGCGGUAAUACGUAGGGUGCAAGCGUUAUCCGGAAUUAUUGGGCGUAAAGAAUGCGUAGGUGGUUUGAAAAGUUGCCUGUUAAAUGCUCAAGCUCAACUUGAGAUCUGCGGGCAAAACUUUCAAACUGGAGGAUAGCAGGGGCAAGCGGAAUUCCCGGUGUAGGAGUGAAAUCCUUUGAUAUCGGGAGGAACACCAAUGGCGAAGGCAGCUUGCUAGGUUAUUUCUGACACUGAGGCAUGAAAGCGUGGGGAGCGAACGGG
rnacentral:rRNA from 1 species